rnacentral:rRNA from 1 species
UCAAAGCAGUAAGCCGUUGAGGGUGAUAGGCAAAUCCGUCAUCCGAGGUGAGCUGUGACAGCGAGGCGAUCUACGGAAAGCUGAAGCGGGCGUAAUCAUGGUGCCAAGAAAUACUCUCUAAGGCUAGGCAUGGAAAGACCGUACCGGAAUCCGACACAGGUAUGCAAGAUGAGUAAUCAAAGGCGCUCGAGAGAACUCGCGUUAAGGAACUCGGCAAAAUGCACACGUAACUUCGGAAGAAGUGUGGCCACCGUUGGUUUAGCAAUAGGUUCAUGGUGGUAGCAUAAAGCAGUCCCAGGCGACUGUUUACCAAAAACACAGGCCCCUGCGAAACAGCAAUGUGACGUAUAGAGGCUGACACCUGCCCGGUGCCGGAAGGUUAAGAGGAGCGGUUAGUCGCAAGACAAAGCUGUGAAUCGAAGCCCCGGUAAACGGCGGCCGUAACUAUAACGGUCCUAAGGUAGCGAAAUUCCUUGUCGGGUAAGUUCCGACCCGCACGAAUGGUGUAACGAUCUGGGAGCUGUCUCAACGCGAAGCUCGGUGAAAUUUAUGUACCGGUAAAGAAGCCGGUUACCCGUGGUUAGACGGAAAGACCCCGUGAACCUUCACCGCAACUUAUCAUGGGGACUUGAUCUGACAUGUGUAGGAUAGGUGGGAGACGUUGAAGCAUGGCCGUUAGGUUGUGUGGAGUCAUCGGUGAAAUACCACCCUUGUCGGAUUAGGUUUCUAACGCUUUCCCUGAAGCGGGGAAGCGGACAGUGAUAGGCAGGCGGUUUGACUGGGGCGGUCGCCUCCCAAACAGUAACGGAGGUGCGCGAAGGUCCCCUCGCGCUGGUUGGAAAUCAGCGUAUGAGUGUAAAGGCACAAGGGGGCUUGACUGCGAGACUGACAGGUCGAGCAGGUACGAAAGUAGGUCUUAGUGAUCUGGCGGUAGCGAGUGGAAGCGCCGUCACUUAACGGAUAAAAGGUACUCCGGGGAUAACAGGCUGAUUUUGCCCAAGAGUUCACAUCGACGGCAAAGUUUGGCACCUCGAUGUCGGCUCAUCGCAUCCUGGGGCUGAAGCAGGUCCCAAGGGUUUGGCUGUUCGCCAAUUAAAGCGGUACGUGAGCUGGGUUCUGAACGUCGCGAGACAGUUCGGUCCCUAUCUGCCAUGGGCGUUGGAUGGUUGAGAGGAGCUGCUUUUAGUACGAGAGGACCGAAGUGGACGAACCUCUGGUGUACCAGUUAUCCUGCCAAGGGUAAGUGCUGGGUAGCUACGUUCGGAAAGGAUAACCGCUGAAGGCAUCUAAGUGGGAAGCCUGCCUCAAGAUGAACCAUCCCUGGGGGUUCAACCCCCCUAAAGGCACCAGGGAGACUACCUGGUUGAUAGGCUGGAGAUCUACGCACAGUAAUGUGUUCAGUCGACCAGUACUAAUCUGCCGUGAGGCUUGACCGU